CCUACGGGAGGCAGCAGUGGGGAAUAUUGCGCAAUGGGCGGAAGCCUGACGCAGCGACGCCGCGUGGGGGAUGACGGCCUUCGGGUUGUAAACCUCUUUCAGCAGGACAGCGGUACCUGCAGAAGAAGCGCCGGCUAACUACGUGCCAGCAGCCGCGGUAAUACGUAGGGCGCAAGCGUUGUCCGGAAUUAUUGGGCGUAAAGAGCUCGUAGGUGGCUUGUCGCGUCGGAUGUGAAAGCCCGCAGCUUAACUGCGGGUCUGCAUUUGAUACGGGCAGGCUAGAGGUAGGUAGGGGAGAACGGAAUUCCUGGUGUAGCGGUGAAAUGCGCAGAUAUCAGGAGGAACACCGGUGGCGAAGGCGGUUCUCUGGGCUUCCUGACGCUGAGGAGCGAAAGCGUGGGGAGCGAACAGGAUUAGAUACCCUUGUAGUC
rnacentral:rRNA from 1 species